UAGCUUAUCACUCGCCACAAACCGAUGACC
rnacentral:piRNA from 1 species